CCAAGGUCCAGGAGAAAUGACUCACAAGACACUUUGGUGAAGGACCCUUCCAAAUCGGUGGUGGGGCGUCCUGCGGUGAGAUUUCUUCCACGUGCCCAGCUCCUUAAACUCGGCCCAUGUGGACAGGCUCCCACGUGAACGCGUCUUCUCAGAAGCCGCAGGAAGCCCUUCCACGUCACGCCACCCGACGCCUCGCCAGGCUGGGGAGUUCCGAAGACCCCCCAAGGGAGGAGCGAGGCGUGGAGCGGAUGCGGACCCCGCGGCGGGCCGGCCACUUCCCUCCGCUCCCAACCGCGCCCACGCCGCCCUACACCCUGGUGCCCGGGAACAAAGCCCGCGGCCGGGCCACGGUCGUCUCACGACCAGGGCUCGGGGACCGGUGGACUGCGCCACAGCUCCCGCGCGCUCCAUCGAGCCUUUUCGGUUGGCCCGGAGCUGAGCGGCCG
rnacentral:lncRNA from 1 species